rnacentral:rRNA from 1 species
GUUCGAUCCUGGCUCAGAUUGGAACGCUGACAAGAUGCUACACAUGCAAGUCGAACGGCAGCACGGACUUCGGUCUGGUGGCAGUGGCGAACGGGUGAGUAAUGUAUCGGGGCGUGCCUAGUAGCGGGAUAACCCGAAAGCGUAGCUAAUACCACGCCACGCCCUUCCGGGGAAAGCGGGGGACCUUCGAGACUCCGCUGGUAAACGACCGAUAUCGGAUGGCUAGUUGGUGGGUAACGGCUCUCUGCGACGACGAUCGUAGCUGGUUUGAGAGGACGACCAGCCACACUGGGACUGAGACACGGCCCAGACUCCUACGGGAGGCAGCAGUGGGGGAAUUUUGGACAAUGCGGAAGCCUGAUCCCAGCCAUCCCGCGUGUGCGAUGAAGGCCUUCGAUUUGCAAGCACUUUUGGCAGGGAAAGAAACGGCACGGGAUAAUACCCCGUGCAACUGACGGCAUGCCUGCAGAAUAAGCACCGGCUAACUACGUGCCAGCAGCCGCGAUGGUAAUACGUAAGUGCAAGCGUUAAUCGGAAUUACUGGGCGUAAAGCGUGCCGCAGGCGGUUCGGAAGAAAGAUGUGAAAUCCCAGAGCUUAACUUUGGAACUGCAUUUUAACUACCGAGAGCUAGAGUGUGUCAGGAGGUGGAAUUCCGCGUGUAGCAGUGAAAUGCGUAGAUAUGCGGAGGAACACCGAUGGCGAAGGCAGCCUCCUGGGAUAACACUGACGCUCAUGCACGAAAGCGUGGGGAGCAAGCAGAAGUUAGAUACCCUGGUAGUCCACGCCCUAAACGAUGUCAACUAGCUGUUGGGGCCUUCGGGCCUUGGUAGCGCAACCUUAACGCGUGAGAUUGACCGCCUGGGGAGUACGGUCGCAAGAUUAAAACACAAAGGAAUUGACGGGGACCCGCACAAGCGGUGGAUGAUGUGGAUUAAUUCGAUGCAACGCGAAAAACCUUACCUACCCUUGACAUGUCUGGAAUCCCGAAGAGAUUUGGGAGUGCUCAUAAAGAACAGACACAGGUGCUGCAUGGCUGUCGUCAGCUCGUGUCAUUGAGAUGUUGGGUUAAGUCCGCAGCGAGCGCAACCCUUGUCAUUAGUUGCACCACGAAAGGGCACUCUAAGCUGAGGCUGCCGGUGACAAACCGAGGAGGAAGGUGGGGAUAGCGUCAAGUCCUCAUGGCCCUUAUGGGUAGGGCUUCACCGUGCCACAAUGGUCGAGACAGGGGGUCGCCAACCCGCGAGGGCAAUCCCAGAAACCCGAUCGUAGUCCGGAUCGCAAUCUGCAACUCGACUGCGUGAAGUCGGAAUCGCUAGUAAUCGCGGAUCAGCAUGUCGCGGUGAAUACGUUCAGGGUCUUGUACACCGCCCGUCACACCAUGGGAGUGGGUUUUACCAGAAGUAGUUAGCCUAACCGUAAGGAGGCGAUUACCACCGGUAGGAUUCAUGACUGGGGUGAAGUCAUGGCACAAGGUAGC